UCUAACUAAAGACAGACGGAUUUCUCUAUUCUAGGAUUGAGGCAUUAGAAAGGAAGAAACUACCUGAGGAAAAUCCAGUGGCAGAGAAUCCAACAGAAGACACUGAGAACCACCUACGGGCUCAAAUAAAUGAAGAACAGAAAGGUUCUGGAAGCCCCAGUAAUAUCUGCAAUGGAGAAAUUGAUCAGGAAAUCGCAUCCGUCUCAUCCGAAAGUUCCCUCUCAACAAACACCCCUGAAGCCAUUGAAGACACAGAGACAAAUUAAAAAGUCCAGCUACAACAGGGGACAACUGCCACACAAACCAACUUACUAAUCAAUGUCUUAGGAUAACAUGGGCCAACACAUGCUACUUAAAGACUAAAUUCUGUCUAUUG